rnacentral:lncRNA from 1 species
UGACUGCCAAUGACCAAGUCAAGUCAACUGCUAUGCAGGGCCUAGUGUCCCUGCCAAGAACAUAAAGAUGAAUAAUAUCCAGCCUUCAAAAACCAGAGAGCUAGGAAAUAAGGACCUGAGGGUUGCUCCUCACCCCUCCCUUGCUCACUGCUUCUGCCCCCACACUAAGCAUAGCACCAGGAAUAUGUUGAACGGUGUUAACAAGAGAG